rnacentral:rRNA from 1 species
GACGAACGCUGGCGGCGUGCUUAACACAUGCAAGUCGAACGGAAAGGCCCUGCUUUUGUGGGGUGCUCGAGUGGCGAACGGGUGAGUAACACGUGAGUAACCUGCCCUUGACUUUGGGAUAACUUCAGGAAACUGGGGCUAAUACCGGAUAGGAGCUCCUGCUGCAUGGUGGGGGUUGGAAAGUUUCGGCGGUUGGGGAUGGACUCGCGGCUUAUCAGCUUGUUGGUGGGGUAGUGGCUUACCAAGGCUUUGACGGGUAGCCGGCCUGAGAGGGUGACCGGCCACAUUGGGACUGGGAUACGGCCCAGACUCCUACGGGAGGAAACAGUGGGGAAUAUUGCACAAUGGGCGGAAGCCUGAUGCAGCAACGCCGCGUGCGGGAUGACGGCCUUCGGGUUGUAAACCGCUUUCGCCUGUGACGAAGCGUGAGUGACGGUAAUGGGUAAAGAAGCACCGGCUAACUACGU